ACACUUUGAUGCAGAUUUUAAUGCGUACAAAAUUAAGGUUCACAAAUGUAUAAAAACAGUAUGAAUACUCAUAUAUGAGAAGAAUAUAAACAGUUUUGUGAAGCAUAAUCUUUAAUGAGACACAGCUUUAAACCCAGACUGCUUAUAAUUGAACUGAAUAAAAUAAUUUAAAGCAGCAACAGAAUACACUCAUACUCAUGGAAUAGUUUUAUAAAUAAAUAAUACACAUAGUUUCACCAUUUUAAUUCACACAAGAAAAAACAUCUAUAUAGGUAAUGAUUUUUUUUUUAAUCAAAAUUUUUCAACAUAAAAAUAUAUUGUUGCCUUUAAGUGGCAUUCAUAAGCGUGAGCACUACCAUUGGCCACACAUUUUUAAAGCUCCUAUGGAUUUAACAUAGGUAUUCUCUAUGGAAAAAAAAAUUGAGAC